UCCUAAAUUCCUAGCAGAGAAGCGGGAAUAGUACUUAAAGCUAAACCCUUCAAAUUUUGAGAGUAUCUGUCCCCAAUUAUCAAAUGGGGCGAGAUAAAAAUAGAAGGGAACCUAGAAAUUCUUCCGAUGACGAAGAAGAUGAUGAUGUUGAUAAAGUUUCUCGAGAAAUGAAAGAGAUUACAAAAGAAGAAAUCAACGAGUAUUUGGUUAAGAAAGCUCAAAAGAAAUUUUGUGUGGGGAAAGAAGAUUGAUUGAAAGUCGAGUUGGUCAAGGUCAAGUUGGGAGGCACAAGGAGAAGAUGGUGGAGAUUGAGACAGUUAAGAAGCGAAGGGAGGAAAGGGCUAUGGAGAAGUCUCAACACGAGGAGGAAAUGCUUAGUCUGUUAGUGUAAAUUGCAUUCAUUAUGGUGUUUCUUGUCUGUUCAUGACAAUGUGCAUUGCAGUUGGUAUUAUCCUGAGAGCGUGUGAAAGCCGAACUUCAGGGUUGGGAGAAAAAGGAAAAGGAGCAUUAGGUCGGAGUUCAGAUGUCUGUGAGUUCGAAGUUGAUGAACUAGAUGAACCAUGCAUGGCGUUUAAGGGUUUGGCGGUGAAAUAUAUGGAAGAGCUUCUUGUGGACAUGAAUAUGCAUCUGAAUUUGGACUCGGAAACACCUAAUCAUAAAGGGUAUUGGAAGGGACAAUCUUUGGUCUCUGGCAGGGUACGUGGUAACUAUCAGAAGCUCGAAAAAGCGAGCUAGGGUACGUGGAAAGGUACCACCUGCUGAGUUGCUUGCUGAAGAAAGGAGACUAUACUCGAGCAUCGAAGGAGAUGUGGAAUAUCUCUUAUAGAGAAAUCUUUCAGUGAAUAGAAGUGGUACAGAUCGACAUUGAGUCACAGAUGCGUGCUGGCACUGCCAAGGUGAUCGAGUACGGCGAGGCUGUUGUGAAACGACUUCAUAUAUUCAACGCCAAUGCUUUUCUAAAGGAAAUUAUCUGUUGGAUAAGGAAGACUCUGUUGAAAGUUGAGCAUGACGAUCCGAAACCUCAAGCAGAGGAGGAUAUUAAAGAUGUUUGGCCUUACUCUCCCAGACUCAAACUGAAAGAGGAAAGGGUUAUGAGGUAGAGGAAAACCGUGGAUCAUUUUUUCCAGAACUUCUGCAUGAUGAAGAAAAUGAGGAGGCAAUUGAUCCCGACGAGGAUAACGAUGAAACUGGGGCGCGAAUGUGCCAGUAAAGUAAUGGGAGAUAUUGUGGAAGGAGAAGCCGUAUUUAGUUCUGGAGCAGAGUAGACCUAGAUUCACAGGUUUACUGGUGGCGUGACAAAUAUUGUCGUGAAAGCCAAAAUAUUUCAACCGUGUUCUUACUGGAAAUGAGUGGAACAAGUACAAUUAAAACCACUUUGACCAUGAUAAUCCGCCUCCGAAGACUGUGCAAGGCUAUAUGUUUAACAUAUUUUACCCAGACCUCAGUCAUAGACCAAUCUACAGCUCCUACAUAUACCAUAGUAAAAGUGGAAGGUAGCAGUGGUGAGACAUGUCUUAUAAGGUUUCAUGCAGGAUGAUCUUACGAGGACAUUGGAUUUAAGAUUGUUCACAAUUGAAGAGAGGGAGUACUCACACACAAAGGGUUUCAAAUGUUCUUUUGAACGGAGAAUCUUGCAUAUAUACUUUAACUUCAGCUAUUAUCAGUACCGCAUAUAAGUUCAAGCUGCACCCAUGGUGGCACUUCGGAAUUCCUUGGAAGUAAUCCUACACUUGUAGUUCGGGAGAGGUACUAAAGUAAGCCCAUUUUACUGUAUCUCUAGGCUCUAGCUAAUAGAAAAUUUUCUUUGCAAUUAUCUUCUCGACAAAAUGAUGAUUAAAAAGGGCAGCUAUAAUAUUUAUUGAAAUCCAUUGGAUGCUUUAAUAUCUUGACACCUCUCUGAUGGAUUAUCGGAUGUCAGUGAACAGUAUAUGAAGGAAGUAUUUUUGAGGGCCUCAUUGUUAUCUUGCAUUGGUUUUUU